rnacentral:lncRNA from 1 species
AUUCCGAUUGUUGUCGACACUUGCAAUCGGCCGCCCGCGGCACCCGGCACCCGGUUUGGCCCGAUCUCCCAUGCGACCACCCGAACGGCCUCUAAUUCACGAUCCGAAAAUUAAAGGUCUUCGGUUAUGUGCCACGAUGCUUCAAAUCCAUUUUCAUGAAUUUACGGUAUCGCCUCGGCCCUCCCGGCGGACCCGAAGCCUAAACAUCCAUUUCUUUAAUAACUUUGUAACGGCUCGUCGGAUUGCCGAACCGUCUUCGCCAACGCGUUCGUUUACCUAGCAAUUAGGUUUACGAAGGGUCAAAUGAGAUCAAACCCUCAUAUUUUGAAAGUUUGCAUUUUGGAGCCCUAGGUUACAACUAUGCAAGAAAUCACUAAAUUGAUCCAUGAUUCAAGCAUUAAUCAUCUAGAUAGUAUGCUAGGACUCUUCUAAAUCCAUUUAUAAGGUAUUUAAACCAAGCAUUAAAGAUCUACCAUUAAAGCCCUCAUUUUGGAGCUCUAGGUUUCACUAGGUAAAAACCCACCAUUAGAACCUUGAUUUCAAGCAUCAAACCUCUAAUUAGCAUGCUAGAAUACCUCUAAACCCAUUCUUAGAGCUUAAAAACCAAACUAGAGAGAAAUGCCAUUAAAGGGUUUUGAAGCUUACCUUGAAAGCUUGCUCUAAUGGAGAAGAAGAUGAUAAAAGAGAUGAAGAUCAACCUCCAAGCUCACUUCUCCUCCAAUUUCAUCAAUUUUGGGGGAGAUUUAGAGAGAGAAAGGAGAGCUCUCUUCCUCCCUCUCCUUGCGUGUGUGUGUGUGUGUGUGUCGUGUGUGGUGUGUGUGCGGCUGAAGGAGAAGAAGAAGCCAAGAGCUUCUUUAUAAUACCCCUCAAACACUAUUCACUCCCGGGCAGCUUAAAAUCUGAUAUCUUUCGCCGGAACUCCCUGAAUGUCCGUUUGAGCUCAAACUUGACAGUCAUGUUCGGUUUUACUUAAUUUAACAAGCUGACGAUCGCUGGUUCAGUUUCGACCCCGUUUGGUCACUGAAAACUGUACCGAACUGCAAUCUUUAACAGAUAGCUGUGGGAUUUUAUUUCCUACGCUACGGGUGUCAGAAAAAUACGAAACCUUAAAUCUAGCCUCAUAAAAAUAUUUCUGACAUCUCUGCCAAUUUUCAUAAUUUUCUGAGACUGUGCAUUUUCUGCUAAUUUAUCUGUCUCGUUUCCAACAGAAAAUUCUAGAUCUUCUGUUUUAAUUCCGAUUUCAGCACAAGUCACUUCUGACUUAUGUUUUACUUCUAUAAAUUCAAUAAAAAUAGUAUCUCACACUAUUUUUAUUUAUUUAUUAUUUUUAUACCAAAAUCUGGUAUGUUACACAAUGUUUCUAAGUGAUGUCCCAACACUCACUUGCUUAGUGCCCCUUUAUGACACUUAAGCAUCACACUGAUCAAGCUCAAUUCUUGUUCUAUAUUUCAUUUAAACAUUAAUACUAAUGACUACUAUAGCCCGGGCCCAAUGCCUCUUUAUGACAUUGGCCCAAUUCUCAAAUAGUCCAAGCUCUCAAGCCCUUUCUCGGCUUCUAAAAUUUCUAAUGUCCCCAUUGGCAUAUAGGUUAAAU